UGAUAUCAUACAGCCAGACGGCCAGUUUGAAAAUCGAACACGCGAGUGACAGACGUGUAAUGUGUUAUUAAAAGAAAAGUUUUUUUUUCUUUUCGUGUUUAAGUGACAAAUGUUCGAAAAUGUCUGCUCUAUUGAAAAAUGUCACGAACUGCAUAUGGCAUGCGUUCGACUCGCUGCAGAUCAAUGAAGCGGUGCAUAAAUCAAAAUUAAAGGUACUAACAGCAAACAUCGGCACAUUGCUAGAUCUAUACGGAGUAGAGAAGGGUCUGGACCACUAUCGGUCUUCCCAGGAGUUGACCUUCGACGAGUUCCGAUAUUACCUUCAGCAUGAAGUGUUCAGCUCGCUCCCUAAGACCUUGAACCUACCAGUUGCCAGAGAGUAUGAAAAGAAGAUUAGUGAAGUGUGCUGGUUCGUUUGCAAGAAGAAUCUACUGGCGCGAGAUAAACCCAUCUUCAGUGAUGAUUCUGUGUUCAAAUUGUUCAGAAUUUUCUGUCUCCUAGCCGACUUGGUACAGGACGCGGAUGACGCCAGUCAUUACGUUGUAGUACUACAGCCAUCAGAAGCAGGUAUAAUCACGGAGCAGCUAGUCCACUGUCUGGGUCUGCGAUGGGACGCAGCGGACUGGGAAGCACUAGGGUCAUCAAUAGGGCACUUCAAAUGGACAUCGUUCCUGGCCGUGCUAGAAGCAAAGUACUGCUGUGAUCAGCAACUACACUCAGAAGCCUUAUUAGAAGCUGUAGCUGAAAUUUAUGACGUAUUCAUUGAAGAUAUUAUUAAAAAGGGUUACCUUUUCAAACGCGGCUAUCUUUUACCUACAAUGAGAGAAUACUGGUGCGUCCUCCAGCCUUGCGCUCUUACUUAUUAUAAGAGUUCCUCACAAAAAGACCAAUGCGGUAGGAUCGUCAUAGAUGAAUACUGUUCAGUAGAAGCAGCCGUUGGUGAAGGGAAAAUACAACGGUUUCAGCUCAUCACUCCCGAGAGAACCUUUGAAUUUGGGACUCAGGAUCACAAGAGUCGUCUUCAAUGGCUCUCAGCGCUACGCCAAGCGGCAGCAGUGUCCGGCGGAGCAGAUGGCUACCAACGCCGCGCACGCGCAGGGAGACGAGGGGCGGGAGCGAGGAGGGAGCAAGAAGUUCGAGAAACGCGAGCAAGACUGCAAUUAGAGGUGCGCGCGAGAUUGGCAGCUGAAGCACAAGCCCAGGAGUUAGCAGAAUUGGCGCAACAGGAUAACAAAAAAUUAGAAGAACUGAAAAACGCCCAAGCAGAACUAGAAAGGCUUCUCCAAGAAGAAACACAAGCCAAGAGAGACGAAGAAAUUGUUAGAGCAUUACAAGCCAGAGUAUUAGCAGAAGAAUGGGAGAGGAGGGAAGAAUUAGAAAGAUUACAAGAAGAACAAAACAAAAUGCUAGAAGAAGAAAGACUGAAACGAAAACAAUUCGAAAUGCUGCAAGCAGAAAAAGAAGCACAAUACAGAGAAGCUGAACGUCGUCUUAAAGAGCUGGAGAAAGAGAAACAGAGCCUGGACGCGGAACUUAAAGCAGCACAAUCAAAGAUCUCCCAGACGGAGCACAACGCGCAUGCGUUGCACGUUCAACUACGAGAUCUAAACCCAGUACUUCGUAAUGGCGAACGCGCGAGACGUGCGAUAUCGUUUGUGCCGACAACGAAGAGCUCAUCCGACACCCUCAUCGACCUCAGGGCUUUGAGACACUUAAAAACUCUACACGAUGAAGAAAAGCUAUAAAAAUAAAAUCUGUGGUAUUUUUGUAAAAUAGGAAAAUAAUUUAAAAAGUAUUUCGAAAGAUCAUGUUUAUUUGGAAUGAGACAGCAGUCCCAAGAAAUAAGGCAGCUUUUUAAAAGUUUUGUAUAAUAUUUUGAUAAAACUAUCGUAACUUAUCAAUUUUGAUGUGUAUUUGAUAUUUAUAUUAUACUUAGGUGCUUGUUUGCUAACUUUGAUUACAAAAUAUUAUAUAAAUAUAAAUUCACUUAUCCAAAUGAAUAUACAAACAUAUACAAAAAAAUAUUUCUUGCUUUCCGCAGUAUUAAAAUUGUAUUCUCGAAUAACGACUGCUUUUGUACAAAAUAGUUUAUUAAAGUAAAAAAAAACAAUGAAAUAGUUUUAUAAUUAAAAUUUUUACAAUUAAAGAAGGACACUUCUAUUUCUUUCCGCCUUUCUUCUCUGCUGCUGCGGCGGCCGCUUGCAUUUUCUUCUGCAACUUCUUGAGCUAAUGGGAUUGUUUGUAGAUUAAGGUACUAUAGGAAAUAGGAAAAACGGCUAAGGCAUGGUAGAAAAGUAAUGAUAUAAGGAAAAGGAACGGAUUUAGGUUUUUUUCUUCCCCUUUUUACCUUUUCCUUUAAGCUGCAUAAAAAUAUUUUUUUA